CGAAACCCGGUGAUCUAGCCAUGGGCAGGUUGAAGGUUGGGUAACACUAACUGGAGGACCGAACCGACUAAUGUUGAAAAAUUAGCGGAUGACUUGUGGCUGGGGGUGAAAGGCCAAUCAAACCGGGAGAUAGCUGGUUCUCCCCGAAAGCUAUUUAGGUAGCGCCUCGUGAAUUCAUCUCCGGGGGUAGAGCACUGUUUCGGCAAGGGGGUCAUCCCGACUUACCAACCCGAUGCAAACUGCGAAUACCGGAGAAUGUUAUCACGGGAGACACACGGCGGGUGCUAACGUCCGUCGUGAAGAGGGAAACAACCCAGACCGCCAGCUAAGGUCCCAAAGUCAUGGUUAAGUGGGAAACGAUGUGGGAAGGCCCAGACAGCCAGGAUGUUGGCUUAGAAGCAGCCAUCAUUUAAAGAAAGCGUAAUAGCUCACUGGUCGAGUCGGCCUGCGCGGAAGAUGUAACGGGGCUAAACCAUGCACCGAAGCUGCGGCAGCGACACUAUGUGUUGUUGGGUAGGGGAGCG
rnacentral:rRNA from 1 species